GCCCGGUUAGCUCAAUCGGUAGAGCGUGAGACUCUUAAUCUCAAGGUUGCGGGUAAGUUCAUGUUCAGGACUCUGUCGAGGCUCGUUCAAUUUGCUAACGUUGAGAUUCCAGGUUCGACCCCCGCAUCGGGCU